rnacentral:snRNA from 1 species
UUCACUUCUUGGCCUUUUGGCUUAUAUCAAGUGUAGUAUCUGUUCUUGUCAGUUUAAUAUCUGGCAUAUAUAUACACAUAUACAUAUAUACACACAUAUAUACAGGCAUAUGGUAAAAUCUGUCCAUUUUACACCUAGAGGAAUCCCCUGGCAUUUUUCAUUCUUUGGGGGGACAGACA